rnacentral:misc_RNA from 1 species
GAAAUGCGAUACGUAGUGUGAAUUGCAGAAUUCAGUGAAUCAUCGAAUCUUUGAACGCAUAUUGCACUCUCUGGUAUUCCGGAGAGUAUGCCUGUUUCAGUAUCAUUAAUAACUCUCAAUCCCUCCCGAAUGAAUUUUAUUCGGGUGAGGUUUGGAUCUGAGCCUUUUCUCUUUGCCGGGGAGUUCUCUUCUCUCGGCUGGCUUGAAACGCAGCCCACAGCAAGGAAGACCAAAACCUCGGGAAAGCGUACAUAGUUGGCUUUGGUCAUCUUUCGCAAAACCCGUUCGGAUCUCCUUAGGUUUCUGUGGCAGGAAAAUCGGAUAUCACCGUGUUCCGAAACUUGAUCUGAAAUCAGGUAGGACUACCCGCUGAACUUAA